rnacentral:rRNA from 1 species
GACGAACGCUGGCGGCGUGCUUAACACAUGCAAGUCGAACGGAGUGGCGAACGGGUGAGUAACAAGUGGGUGAUCUGACUUGCACUUCGGGAUAAGCUUGGGAAAAUGGGUCUAAUACCGGAUAGUGCAAGAUGAGCUCGCGGCCGAUCAGCUUGUUGGUGGGGUAAUGGCCUACCAAGGCGUCGACGGGUAGCCGGCCUGAGAGGGUGUACGGCCACAUUGGGACUGAGAUCCUGCCCAGACUCCGACGGGAGGCAGCAGUGUGGAAUAUUGCACAAUGGGCGGAAGCCGGAUGCAGCGACGCCGCGUGGGGGAUGAAGGCCUUCGAGUUGUAAACUCCUUUCGACAGGGACGCGGUACCUGUAUAAGAAGCACCGGCUAACUACGUGCCAGCAGCCGCGGUAAUUC